rnacentral:lncRNA from 1 species
UUGGGAAUCUUCGCAGCAGCAGAACCCGCUGCCUCCAGGUCCGACCAGACCUGCAUAGGUAGAGAGUCCCCGCACAGGGCGGCCAGCAGAGCUACCCAGCUGCCCCAGGGCCUCGGGACCCCUGGGCCUGGGACCCAGGCCAGACCCUGACUCAUUCGGUGAUCUCACAGGACUCCUCCCACCCCAAGACCCUUUCAGGGACCCUGCCUCGAACUCCACGACAUGGGAGGCAGGGGCGGGCCUUUUGCAGGGGAAGGACUCCCCCAGCAGGACGUUUACUGAAUCUGGAGGGAGUCGCCCUGCAGAUAUCCCGCGGAAGCCGGAGGAGACCCAGGUGCGCCCCACCGGCUAGCUGCGCCUGCGGGUGCCCAAAUUGGUGUCCGGGCCAUCCUCACCGCAGUGACUCCUCCGCAGCGCCAACGCACUCCAUUUUCCUUCCACCCUGCCGGUGGGGGGCGUUUGCUUGUUCUCACUCUGCAGCCGCAGCCAGUGGCGCCGCUACCAAGGUCCCCGCCUCGCCAUCCGGGUCCUGCCUGAGCAUCCUUAUUGGUGCUCAGGGCUAGGCGUGCAUUGCUGCUAGGGGCGCGGAAAGGUUUAUCGUGGGUGGAUGCUGCCCGGGGCUUGAGUGGUUUUUAGAGGUCUUGAGUGGCUCACUCUCCAAUCAGCGCUUUCUAGAGACAGCGUGGUCAGCGUACUUGCUUACUUUCAGGAUUGCGAGACGUCUUUAACCCUUGCUGAUCGGCUGACGCUGCAGCUUCCUGUGGCUUCCUGCUCAUUUCCCGCAAGAUAGCACUGAUAGGGUAUUGGAAAUCCUUAUGUAAAGUAUCUGUUCACUGUUUUUGCCCAUUUUCUUGAUUUAUUUGAACUGAUUCUUCUAUUCUUUUGAAGUUAAUGUGUUGCAAUUUUCACAUCUAUGUUGUUUUUUCAUUAGUGGCAUUUCUCAACUCCUUGAUUUCUUGAAUUUCAUGUUGUCUAUUUCAGUAUGUAUUAAAUUAUCUGUGACGGUGGA